UCAGCCAUGCCGCGUGUGUGAAGAAGGCCUUUUGGUUGUAAAGCACUUUAAGCGAGGAGGAGGCUACCGAGAUUAAUACUCUUGGAUAGUGGACGUUACUCGCAGAAUAAGCACCGGCUAACUCUGUGCCAGCAGCCGCGGUAAUACAGAGGGUGCAAGCGUUAAUCGGAUUUACUGGGCGUAAAGCGCGCGUAGGUGGCCAAUUAAGUCAAAUGUGAAAUCCCCGAGCUUAACUUGGGAAUUGCAUUCGAUACUGGUUGGCUAGAGUAUGGGAGAGGAUGGUAGAAUUCCAGGUGUAGCGGUGAAAUGCGUAGAGAUCUGGAGGAAUACCGAUGGCGAAGGCAGCCAUCUGGCCUAAUACUGACACUGAGGUGCGAAAGCAUGGGGAGCAAACAGGAUUAGAUACCCUGGUAGUCCAUGCCGUAAACGAUGUCUACUAGCCGUUGGGGCCUUUGAGGCUUUAGUGGCGCAGCUAACGCGAUAAGUAGACCGCCUGGGGAGUACGGUCGCAAGACUAAAACUCAAUGAAU
rnacentral:rRNA from 1 species